AUAACUCGAGCACAACGCAUAAAAUUUGAGCAAUGAAAAGAUGGCCAGAACGAGGACAGAGAGCUCAGAACUGUUCACAAAAUAACAAAGGAGGUGCCAGGAGAGAGGCGAAUCCUCUCAGGUGAGACGAGCCACAAAUGAUUCUGUUAACCGUGAAUGUCAAUGUCAACCUCCCGAAAGGAAAAGAAACCACUCGGACUCCAUCUCCUUCUGGAGAAAUCCCAGAAAAAUUCUACAUCUCAAGGGCUGCUUCCCGAAAAAUCUCCUCAGACCUGAUCUCCUUCCAGAAACUUCCUCAGCAGCUCAACAGCUAAAUUCUGAAUAUGGAAUUUAUCACAAACAAAUCACAGAGGAAAAAAAGCUGAGACUGCACGGCCUCAGGCCGAAACGAGUGUAUAAAAUUCGGCAUUUCAAUAAAAACUUUGGAAACUUGAGGGAAUCGAGGUUUGGAGACUGAGGCAGAGACCGGGUCAGGAUUCACCCAGCGCCGAUCCCGGGCUCGGCGUUGCCUUUAAUUGUAGCUGUCCCCAAAUUUAUUUUCGCAGGUUUAGCAAUAAAAAUUGUUAUUCAUGAAAUUGGAUUGAUUUAUUUAUAGCGCAGGGAAGGAAAAAAGGAAAAGCGGAACCAAUCCCCGCCGCACUGCGCAUACGCAGCUCCGGCUACCGUACAUGGCAGCCACGCGCAUGCGCAGUUACGCGCUCCGUACGGCAGCAUGGCGGCCCGCACAGGCGCGGCGCCUUUUGCCGUACAACAUGGUCGUCCUGCGCAUGCGCAGUUCUAUUCGCCGUACAUCAUGGCGGCCCUCACAUACGAAGUUUUAAUUGCCGUACAUCAUGGCGGCCAUGCGCAUGCGCAGUUCCCGCCAACCGCUGCGCUCCCUCUGCUCCGUGCAUGCGUAUUGUUCCGUGACGUCAUCACGCAGCGCCCCGCGCGUGCGCAGUGCCGGGCCAGGCCUGAGGAGGCGGCGAAGCCCCGGGACGGGCCCGGGACCAGCGGGGAAAACGGGAAAAAAACGGGAAAAAAGCGGGGAAAAAAGCGGGAAAAACGGGAUAAUCGGGAUAAUCUGAAUAAUCGGGAUAAUCGGGAUCAGCACAGCGCACUCCCCACCGCAGUUAUGGUGUUUUACUUCACCUCCAACGCCGCUCCCGCUGCCUACACCAUCUACAUGGGCAAGGACAAACGAGGACCUGAUCAAGUACGGCUGGCCCGAGGACGUCUGGUGCGUGCUGAGAUCCCGAGAUUCCCGGGAAAAGCAGGAAUUUGGGAAUGUGGGAUCCUCCCCCUCCCACCCCCUCCCCCCUCGGGCCCUUCCCUCCCCGGAGGAUUCCGGAAUUUGGGAGCAGCUUUGGGCUGGAGCUGGGAAUUCCCGAGGUCGGCUCUUCCCAAAUCCCGAAUCCCAUCCUGAAUUCCAAAUCCAAUCCCAAAUUCAGUCCCAAAUCCCAUUUCAAAUCCCAAAUCCCCAAUCCCAUCCCAAAUCCCGAAUCCAAUCCCAAAUCCCAAAUCCCAUCCUGAAUCCCAAAUCCAAUCCCAAAUUCAGUCCCAAAUCUCAUCCUUAAUCCCAAAUCCCAUUUCAAAUCCCAAAUCCCAUCCCAAAUCCCAAAUCCCAUCCCAAACCCCAAAUCCAAUCCCAAAUCCCAUCCCAAAUCCCAUUUCAAAUCCCAAAUCCCAUCCCCAAUCCCAUCCCAAAUCCCAAAUCCCAUCCUGAAUCCCAAAUCCAGUCCCAAAUCCCAAAUCCCAUCCCCGGGCCCUUCCCUUCCCCCACCUUCUUCUCAUUUUUCCCCCUUUUUUCCCCAUUUUCCCCACAUUUUUUCCAUUUUUUCCUCACUUUCCCCACUUUUCCCCACAUUUUCCCCAUUUUC
ensembl:lncRNA